rnacentral:rRNA from 1 species
GUGGACGUUACUCGCAGAAUAAGCACCGGCUAACUCUGUGCCAGCAGCCGCGGUAAUACAGAGGGUGCAAGCGUUAAUCGGAUUUACUGGGCGUAAAGCGCGCGUAGGCGGCUAAUUAAGUCAAAUGUGAAAUCCCCGAGCUUAACUUGGGAAUUGCAUUCGAUACUGGUUAGCUAGAGUGUGGGAGAGGAUGGUAGAAUUCCAGGUGUAGCGGUGAAAUGCGUAGAGAUCUGGAGGAAUACCGAUGGCGAAGGCAGCCAUCUGGCCUAACACUGACGCUGAGGUGCGAAAGCAUGGGGAGCAAACAGGAUUAGAUACCCUGGUAGUCCAUGCCGUAAACGAUGUCUACUAGCCGUUGGGGCCUUUGAGGCUUUAGUGGCGCAGCUAACGCGAUAAGUAGACCGCCUGGGGAGUACGGUCGCAAGACUAAAACUCAAAUGAAUUGACGGGGGCCCGCACAAGCGGUGGAGCAUGUGGUUUAAUUCGAUGCAACGCGAAGAACCUUACCUGGCCUUGACAUAGUAAGAACUUUCCAGAGAUGGAUUGGUGCCUUCGGGAACUUACAUACAGGUGCUGCAUGGCUGUCGUCAGCUCGUGUCGUGAGAUGUUGGGUUAAGUCCCGCAACGAGCGCAACCCUUUUCCUUAUUUGCCAGCGAGUAAUGUCGGGAACUUUAAGGAUACUGCCAGUGACAAACUGGAGGAAGGCGGGGACGACGUCAAGUCAUCAUGGCCCUUACGGCCAGGGCUACACACGUGCUACAAUGGUCGGUACAAAGGGUUGCUACCUAGCGAUAGGAUGCUAAUCUCAAAAAGCCGAUCGUAGUCCGGAUUGGAGUCUGCAACUCGACUCCAUGAAGUCGGAAUCGCUAGUAAUCGCGGAUCAGAAUGCCGCGGUGAAUACGUUCCCGGGCCUUGUACACACCGCCCGUCACACCAUGGGAGUUUGUUGCACCAGAAGUAGCUAGCCUAACUGCAAAGAGGGCGGUUACCACGGUGUGGCCGAUGACUGGGGUGAAGUCGUAACAAGGUAGCCGUAGGGGAACCUGCGGCUGGAUCACCUCCUUAACGAA